CAUACCAACCCUAUGUGGGUUGGGAGAGCCCUAGAACAAUAGCAUAUGCUUUCAUCUUGCACAUGGCAAUAUGCUUGCUGUCUUUGAAAACUGUCCAAAAGCUUCAUCUAGAAUGCACUGGACCAGUAAUCAGCUGCCACCACCAAUUUUUACCCCUGUGUUCCAAUCCCCACAAUGGCUUCCAGUUAGCGUUCAAGUUCAAUUUAAGAUGCUAAUUGUUAUCUAAACAGGCUUCUCUGGCUUUCCCCUGAAGCUUCUUCGUAACCACUCUCCCCAACUGCAAUCGAUAUUGACUCCCGACUUGACUUUUUCAUCCCAGAUGAAACUGCGAGGAUGAAGAAACUGCCAAAAGUUUCUGCAAUGUACAUGCCAUGGAGGUAUUUGGGCACAAUGCAAGAUAAGGUGUCUUAGCUAUAUAGCGCUUGAAGAGCUUGAACUAGAGAAUUAUAUUCCCCAACAAGCCACUUUCUAGAGGCAAUAUUCCAGAAAGUGCAUUUCGGAAUCUUGAGAACUUGGAGCUCAAUGAUAAAGAGUAAAAUAGCCAACUGUCAUCAGGAUAAGAGUCCUGACUCCAAAAUUCCAGAAGAAGAAAAAUUGGUGAUGCAAGAAAAAGAAGCAAAGCAUCCUUGCAAGUCUUGGGGCUGAGGAAAUGAAACUAACUUUGCUGUGAUUUAUCAGCUAAUUGAAUAAAAUGGGAGAAAAAAAACAGAAUUCUAA